AUCCAGCUGACGAUUCCCAAACAGGACUAAACGCGCAUCCUAGAU
rfam:Schistosoma curassoni strain Dakar, Senegal genome assembly, scaffold: SCTD_contig0000042